rnacentral:lncRNA from 10 species
GCAGUAAUGCGAGUGAUGGGGAGCAGCUGUAAAUACAGAUGAAGCUUGGCUCGCUUGCCUGCUGCUCAGCUCCUGCUGUGCGGGCUGGUUCCUAACGAGCAAGAAGAAACCUGGAGGACACUUUGGUUUCAUCAAGCAACACUUGCCACCAGGAAGGCGUUGAGUGCCAAUUCCACACCCAAUACCCCCAGAGAGGCUAGAGGACUCAAUCAAAGUCACAUAAGGGGAAGAACCAGUUAGUGACAGAGUCCAUUUCCACCAUUUGAAGCCGCAUUUGUGACCCUUCACCAGCUGCUUCCUUGAGCUUGGUGAACACAUGGCCUCGCUGUCUUCUCUGCGUCACUGGGACUAUCUUCUGUGAUCACUGAAGAUGAUGGUUGUGAAUAAUGGUGGCAUCAGGAAAGUGCGGUGGCGGCCACUUACUGGGAGUUACUGGGAGCUUACUGUGUGCCAGGCAUGGUGCUAAACCCCUGCUUGUGUUGUCCACGUGGCAGGAAUUAUCAUCAUUUCACAGAUUAACAGACGUAGGUGCAAAAGGCUAAGCCAUUUGCCCAGGUCACAAACAAUUGUUGGGGCUGGAAAUGAGGCCUCCUGUGUGACUCACAUCCAUGCAUUUACCUGCCAGCUCCUCUCCCCAGGGCUCUGCUUCUGUAACUCUCAGUUGGCAGGUGGAGACCCUCCCUAAAUGAUUGAUAGCCAGGUUUCCUUUGAAAAGCCUCCUGAUAUGGUUUGGCUGUGUCCCCACCCAAAUCUCAUCUUAAAUUGUAGUUCUCAUAAUCCCCAUCUGU